rnacentral:rRNA from 1 species
ACGAACGCUGGCGGCGUGCUUAACACAUGCAAGUCGCACGGAAAGGCCCUGCUUUUGUGGGGUGCUCGAGUGGCGAACGGGUGAGUAACACGUGAGUAACCUGCCCUUGACUUUGGGAUAACUUCAGGAAACUGGGGCUAAUACCGGAUAGGAGCUCCUGCUGCAUGGUGGGGGUUGGAAAGUUUCGGCGGUUGGGGAUGGACUCGCGGCUUAUCAGCUUGUUGGUGGGGUAGUGGCUUACCAAGGCUUUGACGGGUAGCCGGCCUGAGAGGGUGACCGGCCACAUUGGGACUGAGAUACGGCCCAGACUCCUACGGGGGGCAGCAGUGGGGAAUAUUGCACAAUGGGCGGAAGCCUGAUGCAGCAACGCCGCGUGCGGGAUGACGGCCUUCGGGUUGUAAACCGCUUUCGCCUGUGACGAAGCGUGAGUGACGGUAAUGGGUAAAGAAGCACCGGCUAACUACGUG